GAUGAACGCUGGCGGCGUGCCUAACACAUGCAAGUCGAACGGAGAUUACGGACGGAAGUUUUCGGAUGGAAGCCUGUAAUUCUUAGUGGCGGACGGGUGAGUAACGCGUGGGCAACCUGCCCUAUACAGGGGGAUAGCAGCUGGAAACGGCUGGUAAGACCGCAUAAGUCGGUUAAAUCGCAUGAUUUGAUCGGGAAAUGAGCAAUCAGGUAUAGGAUGGGCCCGCGUCCGAUUAGCCAGUUGGCAGGGUAAAGGCCUACCAAAGCGACGAUCGGUAGCCGGACUGAGAGGUCGGACGGCCACAUUGGGACUGAGACACGGCCCAAACUCCUACGGGAGGCAGCAGUGGGGGAUAUUGCACAAUGGAGGAAACUCUGAUGCAGCGACGCCGCGUGAGUGAAGAAGUAUUUCGGUAUGUAAAGCUCUAUCAGCAGGGAAGAUGAUGACGGUACCUGACUAAGAAGCCCCGGCUAACUACGUG
rnacentral:rRNA from 1 species